ACUGUUGUAGUCUAGUUGGUCGGGAUACUCAGCUCUCACUCGAGAAACCCGAGUUCAAGUCCCGACAAUAGAA
rnacentral:tRNA from 1 species